CAGAUAUUUUGAGGCUGUGAGGUUGAACGUUUGAGAGUAUAUCAGUGUGUUUGUUUGUGGUCUUUCUGUUUCUAAGUGGAAGCUGAAUUAGUGAGGAUGACUCCUGCUCCUGUCAUCUCUAAGCUCCUCACACAUCUUUACCUGCACAUGAGGAAAAUCACUCCUGUAGAAUGCAGAUGUUCAGAGGGAGAUGAUGCCACAUCUGGUCCAGCUGAUGGAAGGUCUUGAAGUUCUCUGACUGGCCUCGACUGAAGAUGGUCGUCUCACUGGAUUUAAGAUGCACAAUGAGGGACGUCUGCAGAGACUGAGAAAGAGUCUCACCACAUCCUGACAUGAAGAAAAAGACUUUAUUGAAGACUACAAUGAGAAAAACUAUCAGACAGCAGACGGCUGCAUUCAAGUCUGUAGCUGCUGAAUUCAUGG
ensembl:lncRNA